GUCAAAUGUAACUACGUCUCCGAAUUUCCUACACACUUGCCUGCACCUGUUAUUUGCCCAAAACACAUUCCUGAGCCAGGCCUCGUCGUCCAAGUCUAUACUAAAGAAGAAACCAAGAUUGGUUGCUUGCAUUUUCGAAAAAUAUGCUUGUAUUGCAACAGCGUCUCCUUCCCCAAGUCGUAAUCGUCGGACUUUUUCAAUAAAAUUUCUACAAUCUUUCUCAACACAUGUAAUCUUGUCAUAACCACCGGCUUCAACUACGGCUGAGUUAAAACUCUUAUGUAAUGAUAUACCAGCUACAUCAUUUAUUUCAAGCUAUCUUCUUAUGUGUGCACUUAUUUCUCGAUUACAUCGAUAUAGUCUUGAUUAGGAUGUGCUUGUUCUGUGUUUAUGCUCCAAAUGGAUAGUGUUAAUACGCCAUGUGACAUUAAGUUCUAAACAUGUCAUCAAUCUCGCUUUACAGCCUGUUUGCAUUGUUAGUUGACGCUUCAGAUCUGUAUUUGUACCACUGAUUCGACGACCCUCUCGACUACAAGUAAAAGUUACAUAACGUACAACGCCGUCAUCACCCUUCCCCGAAGAUCUUUUCCUCACCAGAAAACCUAUUUGGUACGCAUAGUUCUUGUAAAAUUCGAAUACCUCAUUUUCAUCUUGAAACUUCAUUCCGACACUGGGGUACAAUAAUAUCAGUUCUUUUCCCUGCUCAUAUCAAUUGGAUUGUCAUCUUCCGACGAAUGAAUUUCCAAAUAACCUGCAUUUACGACAAAUGAACAAUUAUUUGAACUUAC
rnacentral:lncRNA from 1 species